rnacentral:rRNA from 1 species
UGUAAGCGUAUACCAAAGUUGUUGCAGUUAAAACGCUCGUAGUCGGAAUUUGGCAGUUCCGGAUGUGUGCACGUCGUGUGCGCACUUCGCGGGGAUUGCUUUUGUGGUCUUGCGUAGGAUGAGGCACUUUUAUUAGUGAACGUCCUCACGCAACCACUUUUUACUGUGAGAAAAUCAGAGUGCUCAAAGCAGGCAUUUGCCGUGAAUGUAUUAGCAUGGAAUAUAGAAUAGGACUUGGUUCUAUUUUGUUGGUUUGUUGGGACUGAGUAAUGAUUAAGAGGGACAGUUGGGGGCAUUUGUAUUUCGGUGCUAGAGGUGAAAUUCUUAGAUUACCGAAAGACAAACUGCUGCGAAAGCGUCUGCCAAGGAUGUUUUCAUUGA